UUAAAAAGGUAACUUUCGGGUUUGUCAAGAAGCAUGCUGUGAGGCAUGGUCAAUCAAGAUGAGAUUUGCCCCUCUCUGAUUGAGAGUGAUAUCUCUAGGCCCCUUGAGUGAUCAGAUAUGAAAAUGCAUGGCCAAACUACGUACGGUUAAGAGUUAACCUACAAAGGGAUUCCGAAUCAUAGGAUCGAGAAAGAGCGGUCGGCUUGGAGCUAGAUCAAAUAUCGUGAGGCAAAG
rnacentral:lncRNA from 1 species